rnacentral:lncRNA from 1 species
CCGCCGUGCUCCGACGAUGGCGCCGCCGCCCACGGCGGCGAUCCGCCUCAGGUUGGUUGUUUUCGGCUGAAUUCAGCCAAACUAGCACCAGUUCCUGUGAGAAAACACACGCAGGGCCCUCGAUGGGCCAAAAAAAUACAGAAAAUCGAGACUUACCGGCGGUGGAGCUCUCAGGUACGGCAGCUCCUCCGGCGCGAGUCGCGAUUUGGUGUUUUGCUCUGGUCAACCUGUAGAGGAAAGGACGGUGGUCACAGUAGUGUAAAAAUUACAUCGAACGGGAAUCGGGAAGGGCCUAAUCGGAGGCAAAAAUUGAGAAAAUCCGCGG